rnacentral:lncRNA from 1 species
UAUCAGCUCCUCGACACAAUAUGGCAUCUUUAAGAACGUGGUAGCUGCGAUAGUUCGAAUAAAAAGUAUCCGAUUGUGACACACAACUAUUAGUUAACCAUCUUACAUAAUUCGUUUACCCUUCCGCCGAUGAAUCCCGGUUUACCAGGAUUCACGCUUCAGACAGCUGAUGAUGAUACAGUCAUAUUCAUGGUUCCUUGGGCUUAGAUGAAAAUGAAAAAUCUGAUCAAAACAAUAUUCUAAACAGGCUUACUGUAAAUGAAAACUCUUCUUUUAAAAUUCAGUAUGAUCCUUUUGC